CCUACGGGGGGCAGCAGUGAGGAAUAUUGGUCAAUGGGCGAGAGCCUGAACCAGCCAAGUCGCGUGAAGGAUGACGGCCCUACGGGUUGUAAACUUCUUUUGUCAGGGAGCAAUUGAGUCCACGUGUGGUCUUAGCGAGAGUACCUGAAGAAAAAGCAUCGGCUAACUCCGUGCCAGCAGCCGCGGUAAUACGGAGGAUGCGAGCGUUAUCCGGAUUUAUUGGGUUUAAAGGGUGCGUAGGCUGUGAGGUAAGUCAGCGGUGAAAUGCCCCCGCUCAACGGGGUGAAGUGCCAUUGAUACUGCCUUGCUGGAAUGCGGAUGCCGUGGGAGGAAUGUGUGGUGUAGCGGUGAAAUGCAUAGAUAGCACACAGAACACCGAUUGCGAAGGCAUCUCACGAAUCCGCGAUUGACGCUGAUGCACGAAAGCGUGGGUAUCAAACAGGAUUAGAUACCCGAGUAGUC
rnacentral:rRNA from 1 species